CCUACGGGAGGCAGCAGUGGGGGAUAUUGCACAAUGGAGGAAACUCUGAUGCAGCGACGCCGCGUGAGGGAAGACGGUCUUCGGAUUGUAAACCUCUGUCAUUGGGGAAGAAAAUGACGGUACUCACAGAGGAAGCUCCCGCUAAUUACGUGCCAGCAGCCGCUGCAAUACGUAGGGAGCGAGGAUUGUCCAGAAUUAUGGGGUGUAAGGGGAGCAUUGGCGGGAGAGAAGGAUGAGUGAUAAAUCUACCGGCUUAACUGGUAGCUGCUUUCAUAACUUCUUUUCUUGAGUGAAGUAGAGGCAGGCGGAAUUCCUAGUGUAGCGGUGAAAUGCGUAGAUAUUAGGAGGAACAUCAGUGGCGAAGGCGUCCUGCUGGACUGUAACUGACGCUGAGGCUCGAAAGCGUGGGGAGCAAACAGGAUUAGAUACCCGAGUAGUC
rnacentral:rRNA from 1 species